ensembl:snRNA U2 U2 spliceosomal RNA
AUCGCUUCUCGGCCUUUUGGCUAAGAUCAAGUGUAGUAUCUGUUCUUAUCAGUUUAAUAUCUGAUAUGUCCCCUAUAUGGGGAUAACAUAUUAAACCGAUUUUUAGCAACAGGAGUUGAAACAUGGGGCUUGCUCCGUUCACUCCACGCAUCGACCCUGCAUUGCAGUGCCGCUGGGAACGGGUGCACCCUAC